UCCUACGGGGGGCAGCAGUGGGGAAUCUUGCGCAAUGGGCGAAAGCCUGACGCAGCCAUGCCGCGUGAAUGAUGAAGGUCUUAGGAUUGUAAAAUUCUUUCACCGGGGACGAUAAUGACGGUACCCGGAGAAGAAGCCCCGGCUAACUUCGUGCCAGCAGCCGCGGUAAUACGAAGGGGGCUAGCGUUGCUCGGAAUUACUGGGCGUAAAGGGCUCGUAGGCGGACAUUUAAGUCAGGGGUGAAAUCCCGGGGCUCAACCGCGGAACUGCCUUUGAUACUGGGUGUCUUGAGUGUGAGAGAGGUAUGUGGAACUCCGAGUGUAGAGGUGAAAUUCGUAGAUAUUCGGAAGAACACCAGUGGCGAAGGCGACAUACUGGCUCAUUACUGACGCUGAGGCGCGAAAGCGUGGGGAGCAAACAGGAUUAGAUACCCCUGUAGUC
rnacentral:rRNA from 1 species